rnacentral:rRNA from 1 species
GAUGAACGCUAGCGGCAGGCCUAACACAUGCAAGUCGAGGGAGAAGCCCUUUCGGGGGCCGAAACCGGCGCACGGGUGCGUAACGCGUAUGCAACCUACCUUUCACAGGGGGAUAGCCCGAAGAAAUUUGGAUUAAUACCCCAUAAUAUUAUUGGAUGGCAUCAUUUGAUAAUUAAAACUGCGGUGGUGAAAGAUGGGCAUGCGUCCUAUUAGCUAGUUGGAGUGGUAACGGCACCCCAAGGCUACGAUAGGUAGGGGUCCUGAGAGGGAGAUCCCCCACACUGGUACUGAGACAGGGACCAGAAUCCUACGGGAGGCAGCAGUGAGGAAUAUUGGUCAAUGGUCGGAAGACUGAACCAGCCAUGCCGCGUGCAGGAAGAAUGCCUUAUGGGUUGUAAACUGCUUUUAUAUGGGAAGAAUAAGGCGUACGUGUACGUUGAUGACGGUACCAUAUGAAUAAGCAUCGGCUAACUCCGUG